rnacentral:lncRNA from 1 species
UUUUUUUUUUCUUUUUUGUUUUUGCUUCUUUGUUUCUAUUAACCCAGGGAACCAAAAUGAUCAUCACAAAAUUGACCUGAGGAAUUUAUACUUUUCUUCUUCCCUCCUUUGAGUCUGGGUCUCUCUUCUCCUCCCUCCAGAUUUCAAAUUGGCUCCAGAUUUUAUAUGAGAAGCAGUAACAGAUCUAAAAGAAACAAACUGAGAAGGAAUUUAAGGAGCAAACUAACUGAUGAACUCUAAUCUGCUCGCUACAGGUUUGAGUGAAAAAUCCAUGCUAUGCUCAAGAAGAAUUCAGCCAUUCACAGAGGAGGUCAGGUCAGGCUGAUGUCUAUAUUUGGCAUCUCAAAAAAAAAAAAAAAAUUACAUCAUUUAUACAUUCAACAUUUAGGGAACACUUUACCAAGAGUCUGGCUAGUUGUUACAGAUUAUCGAGUUGAAUAAAACAAGGCUUUUUCUGCCUCCAAGAUUCAAUUAGGUAACUGCCAACACCACCGCUCAUAUAUUUUCACACACCUGUCUUCUCACUGAAUCUGUAAUUUUUACUUAGGGCAAGAACAGUAUUCAUUUACAUAUGCUUAGUAAACACUAGCUGAUGAUUUACUAAAGGCUCCUGUGCUUUAUGAGUUCAUGGUGAAACAAAAGAGUUGAGCAUAUAAAUAGCAAAUUAAGAUUACAGGGUAAUACUGCUGCUACAGAGAAAAGAGCCAAAGCAUGGGGCCACAAAGGAAGCCUGCUGAGGCAGGGGUAGGCGUAACCGCAGAUGUGACACUGAAAUAAGAGUUGAAAGAUAAGGAGAACUCUAUCAGUGGAGGAAAAGUGAUAGUAGAGGGAAUUUCCUGCAGAGAAAACAGCAUGUACAAAAAUAACUAAUAGCUAAUAAUUAUCAAGGACUUUUUGGGAGUUCCCAUCGUGGCGCAGAGAAACGAAUCCGACUAGUAACCAUGAGGCUGCAGGUUUGAUCCCUGGCCUUGUUCAGUGGUUAAGGAUCUGGAGUUGCCAUGAGGUCGAAUAUGCGGCUCGGAUCCUGCAUUGCUGUGGCUGUGGUGUAGGCCGGCAGCUGUAGCUCCAAUCAACCCCUAGCCUGGGAACCUCCAUAUGCCAUGGGUGUGGCCUGAAAAAGCAUUAAAAAAAAAAAAAAAGAAUUAUAUGAAACAGGUUGAGAAUAUAUUAAGGAUUAAUUCAAUCAUAGUUAUUAUAUUUCAGAAAAGAAAUAGCAUAUAUGGAAUGCCUAUGCCAUAAAAUAAUUUUCAUAUAUUAUUUCAUCUCUACAGCAACCCGGUAGAGUAUAAAAACCCUAUGAUGCUAUCACUUUAAUCUUACAUUGAGGAAAAUGAGACUCAGAGGCAUUUAAGUAACUUGUCCAAGGUCACACAGGUAGCACUUAGCAGAGCCUGCUUUCAGACCAAGGUCUUUCUGAGUCCAAAGCCUCAGUCUCUGUUCUUUGCAGUUUACCUGCCUGCACCCCAGAUAAGUUCCAGUGUAGAAAAAAUAAGGAGGAAUCAGAUAUGCCCCAAAUGUCUGAGGUCAGUGUGAGGGACUAGAAAGGAAAGAUUGGAUCACAUUCACAUGUAGCUUGGGAUGUGUAUGAAAAAUGUUUGGAACAUGUGCAAGAUGAGGCAGGGGAGAAACCAAAAGGGAAGAAGACAGCCAACAGCAAAUGUCAUGCUCCUCAACUUCUCUUUCAGCUAAUAACACAAUAAUAGUAGAGAUGACUCAUAAUCAUAUUUCAGUCCUUGUGCUAGGAGUCUCCAAGGUAAAAAUCCCAUAUUGUAAUACCAGUGUGUUGUUUCCUCUUGAUCUUACUACCAUUAUGUCCCAGAAAAUGUUCCAAAACCUAACAGAGGAAGUUCAGAAAAAUCACAGGAAAUAUCUAACCUCCUUUAUUCUAAGAAAUGGAAACAAACUCUUCAAGGUUAGUUCUUAUGUGCAUCAUUAGCAUCAAGGCAUGUUGGAAGAGGAUUCAGGUAACUAAUAAAGCAUAGAUGGCUUCAAAUCACCCUACAGAAAAACAAAAGCUCUUUCACAAUAACAUAACAAAAAAACUUGAUUUCUGGUGUUUUCCUCUGUCACACAGCUCCCCUAAACUUGGAACAAAUAGGCCUUUGCAUUCUCCAGUCAAUGCCCAGGAAACUUUCAUACUGUAAAUGUUUUGAGUCAUGCAGUCAGCAGUCAGGUUAGGCACAAGUAGAAAUGGCAGCACAGAAAACCAAACCAAACAAACAAACAAAACUCUCCUUGGAAUAAAAAGUUCUCAAGUGAGGCACCAUACCAAGUUCUCCCACCUGAUGCCACAAGGCUGUGAACCCAGAAAGAUGCAUAGUCCAGGCUUAGAACGCAAACUUGGAGAAAGAAAACAAAGAAGGGGUGGCUCAGCAGACUCUGAUAGGGAGUGAAAUAAUCCUGCCUGUUUAAAUUUAUAAGGACAGUUUGAAAUUCUCUACUAAUACAUCCAUCCUCUUGUGAACUUUUCCGAAGUAGAACUAAUGGCAUAGAAGUUAGCAGAUCUCACAGAAAACUCAUUCCUAAGGGACUACCUGUAAACUCAGAAGUUUCUGUCUUCACGUGAUCAAAUGCUCAGCAGAACCCCCUCUUGCUCACUCACCGGCACUCAAAGUGCUUUACCCCUCAGCACCAAAACCCCCUGUGCCCAGCCUUUCCUCUUCUCUUCUUGGCCCCAGAAAGGCCUCAGGCAAUAGAGCUGCGGGACCCGGGGGAGCACCCCUCCCCUCCCUGCCAUCCCCAUUAUUCGGCACACAGCCCUGUUCUCCCCUGGAGCCAACAGUCUGCAGCUCCUUCAAUGCAGGCGCGAGCAGGCAAGAAUAGUGGGAAGAGAAGCUGUGCCAGCUGCAUGUUUCAGAAUCUCCCUCCAUAUGCAUUUGCCAAAGGAACAAAAAGAAAAUCAACGCCAGGAAGACAACUGAGAUGAGGAUGCGGUGGGACCGCGGCUGACUCCGUGCCUCUUAGCAGCAAGAGGCUGGCCAACCACGCGUCCGAGCCAUAGAUGCGAGUGGUUACCUUCAGGAUGCAGGCCAUGGCGCUCCGCCGGCCCUCCUGCCACCAAGCAGCCGGCGCGCCUGGGUCAGGGGCAGUCCCGGCGGCAGGCUGGAGGCUGGUACCGCUGCAGGACCGCUCCAACCCACAU